UUCAAAGAUAAAGGAAUGAUCGGUGACGUCACAUACAUGAAAGACAAGCACAUUUGCCCAUUGUUAUGGACCAGUGCAAAAACCGCACGGCAACGUUUGCUUGUACUUUUAGUAGUUCUGACCCCACGAAACACCAAAAAGUCAACAAAGGAAAAGACGCCUGAGAUGUCGGUUUUAGUUUAUUGGGUCUACAGGAGAUUUAGUAAUGUUUUGCAGUACUUAGGUCUGUACAAAAAGAGGGGCAAGUUGGUCUUCCUGGGCCUGGACAAUGCUGGCAAAACUACUUUACUGCACAUGUUGAAGGACAACCAUCUUUGCCAGCACGUUCCCACGCAGCAUCCAACGUCUGAAGAGCUGACGAUUGGCGGCAUGAAGUUUACCACCUUCGAUCUGGGAGGACACGUGCAAGCUCGGCGAUUGUGGAGGAACUACCUGCCCGCCGUGAACGCGGUGGUCUUCAUAGUGGACUGCGCCGACCACAGCAGGCUAGAUGAGUCCAAGACAGAGCUGGAUGCCCUGCUGGCAGACGACACUAUCGCCAACCUGCCCGUGAUGGUGCUGGGUAACAAAAUCGAUCGUCCGGAGGCCAUCGGCGAAGCCUGCAUGCGAAGGGUUUUCACACUGGAUGGAAAAGUCACCGGAAAGGGGAAUGUGAAAAUUAAGGAGUGCAACGUGCGACCAUUAGAGGUGUUCAUGUGCAGCGUGUUGAAGAGACAAGGCUACGGCGAUGGAUUCAGGUGGUUGUCGCAGUACAUGGACUGAUGACUCAGCAGUUCUUGGACUAUUUGCAACAAUAUUCAUCACGAUUCAAACAUUAAAAAAAAAAAAGGGUGGAAUCUGCUCGAUAUGACCAAUAAUAUAUGCAAGGAUUUUGCCAAAGAAAAACUUUACAGGGUUUGUUGGGAGUUAUUUUGCAUGUAUGCUUAAUAAAUGCAUGUAAUAUGAAUGGAAAUGUAUGCACAGCUGACUGUGUUUGUGCAAAUGUGCUGCACUUAAACAAAACAGCAGGUCAGAGGUGCAUGCUGUGUUCAAAUGUUUUCAUGAAAAUAGUUUUUUUUUUUUAGUUUGGUGAAUUCUAAAAUAAUGCCCAAAAUCUUGCAUCAGCAUUGUUCUUUGUUUUAUGGAUGAGCAUGAUGAAGGGCUUCAGCAACAGUUUGACGAGCAUUUAAGCACAUUGAACUAUGAAAAAAGAAAAAGUUGAUCAAAGUCACAGGUGUCAAACUCAAGGUCCGGGGGCCAAAUCUGGCCCGCCACAUUGUUUUAUGUGGCCCGCGAAAGCCUGGAAAUAAUAUGCAUUAAUAAAAUACUUAAUCUUUUCUUACUAAAUAUAUUUGUUCUUUUCAUUUUGACAUUAAAAAUCAUGUACUGCAUGCAAUUGCAUAUCUUUUAAAAUUCAAUAUUAUCAACAUCUAAAUAUUAUUUUAUCAUAUAUUAAAAACAUUUUUUUGUUAAAAUAAAGAUAAAUACUGUACUUAAAUAUCUGCUUGACUUAUGAUUUCAAAACAAUUUAUCAAUCAAAUUGACAAUAGAUUUUGCGGUUAAAUUCUGCCGAUUUAGUUUUUUACCGUAAAAUCAACUUUGGAUAUUGUUUUUUUCCCAUACACUAAAACAUUAAAAAAACAAACAAAAAAAACAUUAAAACAAGAUUUUACGGUAAAAAACAAACAAACUGGCAGCUCUGUUGUUUGAAUUUUACCGCUAAAAACAAUGGUAUUGUUUCUCCAUUCCAUUCCAUUUUUUUAUAUGCUGUAAAAAAAAUCCACUGCUUUUACUGUAAAAUUCUGGUGACUGAGUUGCCAGUUUUUAAAGUAACAUUUUAAAUAUAUUUAUUUAUAGCUUAUGUAAAAAAAUAUAUUGUUAAUGUAUAAUAUAUAUAUAUAUAUACAUGUGUGGAGGGAGAUGUUGUCAGCGCUGCCUGCAGGAGCAAAGGUCACCGCCUCUGUCCAUGGUGCUGAGGACAGCACCAUCAGACGGGGGCGUGGCAGUGCUGACGACGAGACACAGCUGCCAGUAAGCGGCCGGGAGCAGGAGGAGAGAGAGGAUACGGACGUGGCUGGAAAGUCUCGUUUGUAAAACAAUUGAUCAUUAAAACCUUGUUAAACCUGCACGCUUGGCUCCUGUGCUAGGAAGCGACUUCCACAACGUGUAUAUUCACAUAUUACUCAUUGUUACAAGCGGCCCUCUGAUGGCAACCAUAACUGAUGUGGCCCUCAAUGAAAACAAGUUUGAUACCCCUGCUCUACAUCAACUUUUUGUGUGUUUCUACAUUGUAGAGAGGGUUUAAAAAUUAAAUUAAAGGGGAUAACGAGAAGCUUCGCUGCCUUUUUGAAAUGUUUUUUUAUUAGUAAAGUGCCGAGCCGAGAAGGUACAUUCUUAACUUCACUAGAACAUGCAACAUCACAAGUAGCACAGAUGGAGAUAUGGGCGGCCAUGUUCUUGUAGAAGGAAAACAACAAACGCUGACUUCAAGUACGACGCACACAACUUCAAGUAAUGCUGCUCAAAUACACGAUAACUUCCCCCGCCGACACUAGAGGGCAGCGACGAGCCACUUCUACUUUAUAAGAUCGGUCGCAUCCUUUCAACUGCCUUAAGCUGAAUAAGGAUGUUCAAAUAGCCGCUACGAGUGUUUGUCCGGAAAAGGGAUGGUGUAGCGUUCUGUGGCUGUGACGGAAAAAGAAAAGAAGAAGAAGAAAGAAUGAAGCAGAGGAAGAGAAACUACUUGUCACCUCGUCGUCGGACCACCGCCAUACGAGCUGGAUUUCACCAUCUUUGAAUCCCUGAAUGAGGUCAGAGGCUGCGACUGGGAUCUCAGGUUAGGAUCCCACGGCUCUACCAGAUGUAACCUCCAUCAUCAGCCUCCUCCUCCUCUUCCUCCUCCUCUUCCGCCUCAUCACCAUGGUCCCCCGCCUCCUUCUCGUCGUCAUCCUCCCAGCCCACCCCGCUCCCAAAGUCGCCGGAGUUUCCCAACACUUCAUCUGAGAAGGAGAGACACAAAGACAUGUUUCUGUUACAAGUCCUGCUGUUUGGCAACAUUCUUCACACAAAAACAUGGAUUUAAUUAUUGUAUGCGUGGGUUCCCUCCGGGUACUCCGGCUUCCUCCCACCUCCAAAGACAUGCACCUGGGGAUAGGCCCCUCCCACCUCCAAAGACAUGCACCUGGGGAUAGGCUGAUUGGCAACACUAAAAUUGGCCCUAGUGUGUGAAUGUGAGUGUGAAUGUUGUCUGUCUGUCUGUGGUGGCCCUGUGAUGAGGUGGUGACAUGUCCAGGGUGUACCCCGCCUUCCGACCGAAUGCAGCUGAAAUAGGCUCCAGCACCCCCCGCAUCAAGAGCCAUUCAAAAAAUCUAUUGGUUUGUGCAUUCAGAAUGCAUUUAAACCAAUGACACAACCUUUUUAACAUUUAAAGAUGCUAGUAAAUGCACUUUAUUUUGAAAAAUUGGACCAAAUUGUUGAAUAAAUAUAUUUUUAAAACUUUUUGAAUGUGUUGAGUAUUUUUUACGGUUUACUCUUUCAAUUAAU